AGCCUUCUGAAUCUGUGCUGAGAUUUCAUCAGACACUAUACCAUCAGGACUGAGGUAACUCUCAAGAUCAGUGAAGCG
rfam:Schistosoma margrebowiei strain Zambia genome assembly, scaffold: SMRZ_scaffold0000191